GACGAACGCUGGCGGCGUGCCUAAUACAUGCAAGUUGAGCGAUGAAGAUUGGUGCUUGCACCAAUUUGAAGAGCAGCGAACGGGUGAGUAACGCGUGGGGAAUCUGCCUUUGAGCGGGGGACAACAUUUGGAAACGAAUGCUAAUACCGCAUAACAACUUUAAACAUACGUUUUAAGUUUGAAAGAUGCAAUUGCAUCACUCAAAGAUGAUCCCGCGUUGUAUUAGCUAGUUGGUGAGGUAAAGGCUCACCAAGGCGAUGAUACAUAGCCGACCUGAGAGGGUGAUCGGCCACAUUGGGACUGAGACACGGCCCAAACUCCUACGGGAGGCAGCAGUAGGGAAUCUUCGGCAAUGGACGAAAGUCUGACCGAGCAACGCCGCGUGAGUGAAGAAGGUUUUCGGAUCGUAAAACUCUGUUGGUAGAGAAGAACGUUGGUGAGAGUGGAAAGCUCAUCAAGUGACGGUAACUACCCAGAAAGGGACGGCUAACUACGUG
rnacentral:rRNA from 1 species